AUUUAUUUAUUCUUCAUUUGCAUCGUAUAAAUAAGACUGCAAAUUGAAACAAUUUUACAAUACGAUUGUGUCGACGUGCUAACGGUGAGGUGUUCGUUUGCAUAUUAGUAUAUCAAACAUUUUGUGUUACUUUAAUUUGGAAUUAUUCUUAUAAGUUUUAUUACCAUCUAAUAUUGUCACCACUCGAUACUCACCUGCCGGAAACUAUUAUACUGUGCGAGACCAUCCAUCCACACAACAACACAAUAACUGUAAUAUAUUGUAACCAGCAGUGUGCUGCGACCGUAUAAAAUAUAACCGAAUAAGUACUAACCAGUAACCGUAGGAAUCGUCAUAAUAUAAUGCGGUUACUCACGUACGUCGCACUGUUCGGGGCGGCGGCAGUGACGAUGGUGAGCUGUGAGACGCUUCGUCAUCAGCUAUUGGGAAAUGGCUAUGUGAACGUGACUAUGGAAUCACGGACGUGUUUGAACAAUAAGCCUUUGUCCGUGCCCGUCCUGCUGGUGGGCGAAGCGUCAGUUGCAGGUGCACCGUGGAGAAGUUUCAAUAGUGACAUGCGGUUCUUAGCAAUGGACGGAAUAAAAAACCCUACAGACAAGAUAGAUGCCGACGAGAGGGGCCACCUGGUGGCGUCCACGAUCGGCGGCCCGCCCGACGACACCUGGAACAUGGUGCCGCAGCGAACGAGUGUGAACCGGAAGAUCUCAAAAGAGAGCAACUUAAUGGGCCGAUGGGACGAGUUCGAAACGUGGAUGGUGGAGGAGAUCGGACGAAAAAAAACGGUUUAUUUCACGAUCGAGGUGAAUUACGAGAGAGCCAGCGGUUGCCGGCCGGUCAGUUUUAAGGUGGAUGGCAGGUCCAGCGCUAAACCCUCAACGGGUUACAGAAGCAUUUUCGACAAUAAGCCGGGUGGACCUUUCAGUACGGUCGCGCAGACGCAGAAGCAAAUGAAAGACAAGAAGCCGUGAUUGCUCGGUCAUGUGCCGACCAGUGACUUAUUCGAUGCGGCGGCAGUGCAACUGCCAACUACUUAACUUUGUUUUAUUUUAAUACUGUUUUAUUACGCCGAUUACCUAACAAAUGGAAAGUACCUAUACAUCUGGUGCUAUACGUAUGUAUACAUCACGAAUAAUAUUUAAACUGAUAAGACAGUUCAGCCAAGGUUGCCAGGUUUUUCUCAAGUAUGUCUUGUGAUGUUUAACUCAGUUUAAAGGUAUGUAAGUAGUAUUAUUACAGUACCUAGUACAUUAUAGUAGUAGUAUUGCACAGUCACAGUAUUCCGUGUAAGCCGCGUGAUUAACACGUUAACAUAUGAUAUUAUCCGUGUGGUUAAUUGCUUAUUUUAAUGACUAGUGAAAUUGUUUAACCUAAACAAAUAAAUAUUAAUGUCAAUAUAAUUUAAUUUUUUCAAUAUUAUGGACAUUUUGUACAUGUUUUUACGUGAAGCAUGGUGAUAGUUUAAUAGUAAUAGUAGAUACAAGUAUCAGAUAGGUAGGUCGUAGGUAUAAGUGUCGAUAAUGAUCGUUUGAUUCGUAUUAGAUAGUAGAUACUGAUAAUAUUGAUAAAGUUAUUAACAUUUUAAGUACCUAAGACCUAACUAUGAUAUUAAUUAUUAGUUCAUAUUAUUACUAUAUAUAAAUAUAUAAUAUUAUAAUUCUGAAUUAAAAUUAACGAAUGGACUAUGAGUUUUUGUUCUUGAUUCUCCGAUUUAUGGUGGAUAAUAUUAUACCAAUUGUUUAUUACGACUUCAAAAAAACAGUCAUUAGCUGAGAGAACGAUUUACAUUUAUAUGAUACAUUUACAUACAUUUAUAUAUUAUAUAACAUAGUAUAGUACAUUCUAGUAUUAAAUAUUAAUUAUUGAUAACCCAUUUACAAAUUAAAGUCAUUAACUAUUAUCGUUCAAAAUAUCGUUUUAAAUUUCUAAAAGUAGUUCAUAUUUUUCUUGAACUUCAUAAUUUAUUUUUUAAUUGAUUUGACCAUUUUUUCAUAAAACGAUCAUAUACUUAGUUGUUCUAAAGAGACAUCUAUGAAUUAUGAAAGUAAUGAAUAAAAAUAUUCAGUAAACCUAUUUUAUUAUUUUUGGGAAAAGUUUUAACCCUAUAACCACCCUCCUUUUUGUGUACACGAUAAUUUUUACUAUCGAGAUCUAUAGCCAAUACAAGACUUAUUUACUUUUUUGUAUUAUUACUUAGUAUAUAGUUAAUUACGUAGUUCCUAUGGGUGGUUUGCGUUUGGGCGAAUGAUUUUAAUACAUUGUAAUGUGUUUCGGCGAUCUUUUUUAAUAUCCUGGGAUGCUAUAUUUUAUCAAUCCAUUUUCUCUCUCAUUUUGACAAACUUGGGUUGUUCAUGAAUUCCACGUGUAUGAUUAAAAAUGGAUUUUUUUUUGUGUGUGAUUAAAAAUUAAAAUUUUUGAAAAUCAAGUUAAAAUAUUAUUAAAAUAAAAAUAAUACCUACCAUGUAAAUAAUAUAUUUAAUAAGUGUGUGUAGUUAAAAAUUGAAAUUGUGUGCCAUAUUUAGAUAGAUAUAAAAUUCCCAAUAGAUUUUAUAUAUUAUUUUUAUAAUCUUUACACACUUACAAUUUUAUCUUUUGUAUUGUAUCAUACUCGCUCAAACACAUUACUUUUAUUAUGUGGGUAAAAAGGUAAUUCACCCGAACGCAUGACGACCGUUCCUAUUGUCUAUUUGUCAACAUUGUGUAGUGUUUUAUAAGAUCUCCUAGCUUUAAUUGAAACUCGGAGGCUGGUGUAACUCGUCGAGAGUGGGUGCCGAUGAAGGAGACAAUUAGACAAUGUCUUUGCAAUUAUGAAAGUCACGCCUGUUGAGUCGUAUUAUGAAGGUUGAUUAAAACUAUCGAAAGUUUGAGGACGCGAUAUUGUAACAAAUUUUUUUAAACUUUAAGUUCAUAGUUAUAACUUAUAAAUUACUUUUCUUUUAUUUAGUAAAUAAUAACUUGGCUAGUUAACAAUUUAUUGCACUUUUCAACUGAAUAUUUACAAUCCUAACCUAGCCUAUGCCAAAUCAUAAUAACUAUUAUAUUAAUUGUAACAAAAAAACUUAAUGCGAUUACCUAUACAGUAGUUGUCAAUUAAUUAACUGAUUACUGAUUAGUAACUACAAACUGUCGUUUAAUAUCAUAGACAAAAUUAACUCGGUAAGUUAUUAAAAGUUACAUUUGAAAAGAUUAACUCAUUAAAUAACGUGUUUCAUUAUUUAAUCACUAAAUUAUUUUAAAAGUAACUUAACUUAAAUUUUUAACUCGUUUAUGCCCUUGAAAAUCAUAUUUAUAUAUUUUAUGCAUGCACCUGUGUAUGAUUUUAACUAUUGGCAGCUGAACGUCGAUUUCGAUUUGGUUUUGGUACUUACUUACUACUUAGUGACUUAUAUAUCGGCUGAUAUAUAAUUAAUGUAUAAUAUAAAAAUAAACUAUGCGUAUAAUAACAUACUUAAUACUUAAAAUAUUAUAUUAUCACUUUCCAGUUUCCACUGAUACUGGUAUGCGAGCUUACCGUACAUAAUAUUUUUAAUACUACUCGUUAUACCAACAAAUUGCAUUAUUAUAAUAUAUUCACAGUGACACAGUGGGAUUCCCUAUCGUUAAAAUAUCGCGUUUUAUUCGAAUACACUAGGAAAAAA